GAUGAACGCUGGCGGCGUGCCUAAUACAUGCAAGUCGAGCGAACAGACGAGGAGCUUGCUCCUCUGACGUUAGCGGCGGACGGGUGAGUAACACGUGGAUAACCUACCUAUAAGACUGGGAUAACUUCGGGAAACCGGAGCUAAUACCGGAUAAUAUAUUGAACCGCAUGGUUCAAUAGUGAAAGACGGUUUUGCUGUCACUUAUAGAUGGAUCCGCGCCGCAUUAGCUAGUUGGUACGGUAACGGCUUACCAAGGCAACGAUGCGUAGCCGACCUGAGAGGGUGAUCGGCCACACUGGAACUGGGACACGGUCCCGACUCCUACGGGAGGCAGCGGUCGGGAAUCUUCCGCAAUGGGCGAAAGCCUGACGGAGCAACGCCGCGUGAGUGAUGAAGGUCUUCGGAUCGUAAAACUCUGUUAUUAGGGAAGAACAAAUGUGUAAGUAACUAUGCACGUCUUGACGGUACCUAAUCAGAAAGCCACGGCUAACUACGU
rnacentral:rRNA from 1 species